GAUGAACGCUGGCGGCGUGCCUAAUACAUGCAAGUCGAGCGAACGGACGAGAAGCUUGCUUUUCUGAUGUUAGCGGCGGACGGGUGAGUAACACGUGGAUAACCUACCUAUAAGACUGGGAUAACUUCGGGAAACCGGAGCUAAUACCGGAUAAUAUUUUGAACCGCAUGGUUCAAAAGUGAAAGACGGUCUUGCUGUCACUUAUAGAUGGAUCCGCGCUGCAUUAGCUAGUUGGUAAGGUAACGGCUUACCAAGGCAACGAUGCGUAGCCGACCUGAGAGGGGGAACGGCCACACUGGAACUGAGACACGGUCCAGACUCCUACGGGAGGCAGCAGUAGGGAAUCUUCCGCAAUGGGCGAAAGCCUGACGGAGCAACGCCGCGUGAGUGAUGAAGGUCUUCGGAUCGUAAAACUCUGUUAUUAGGGAAGAACAUAUGUGUAAGUAACUGUGCACAUCUUGACGGUACCUAAUCAGAAAGCCACGGCUAACUACGUG
rnacentral:rRNA from 1 species